GCAGUUUAGUUGUGUCUCCUGUCAUAGCAGAGUUUCUCUUGCCCUUAAGGUCUCACUUUCUACUUCUAAAUACCUUCCAAGAUGUUUCCCUCCACAUACACAAUAUCUUCCUUAAAAGAGAAACCCUGCAUCAGUUGUUAAGCUAACACAUCUUUCACCUCACUACAAAUGUAUCACUAUUGAAUUUCUCUCCACAAGUGUGAAGAUGGCUGGAAUUGAUAUUCUGGCAUUGUUUCUCAUCACCAGAAGGAAAAAUUCAGAGAAACAGCCCGACCACCUACCCUGACAAAUGCCUGAAGCCCACAUGCAGCCUGCAAACAUCACUGCCCACCACAGACCACAGAAGCAAGAAGCCUGUUUCCUGUUACUUGCCACCACUCAGCAAUGCCCACCCCAUGUGUAUACAGGUCCAGAAUGCGCAAAAUUGUUAUUUCGCUGCUGCAACAUUGGAGCUGUCCAUCAUCUCACACACACGCUUUUGUAAACCAGUAACAAAGGAUCAACUUUCUUCUAGGUCUGAAUUGAAUACUGUGAGGCUAAAGCGUCUUAACUCAUUUAGGGGGUGGAAAAUAUUAACCCAAAUAAGCCUUACCUAACUACAAUGCCCUGCUGCUGCUCAUCUCCCUUUAUUCAUUUGUACUCAUAUCCAAAAGAGGUUGUGAUUUUUUCCCUUUCAUUCAAUAACAAUUUUCCUUGAUUCUUAGAUAAGACCAUUCCAUAAUGUACUCCUUAAUUGUUCUGAAUUUCUUUCAGAGAAAAACUGGAAAAGACAUUAAAUCAUGUUGACAUAUUUGACUGACUUUCAUCUAGGAAAAGAUAUAAAGUUAAAUCUCUACACUAAAAUCUAAACAAAAUAAAAAUAAAUUUCAGUAAGACCCAAACAUUUACUUUUAAAAACCUAUAUCAUGUUAUAUGUAUAACUGAGGAAUUUAAUCAAGAUUUUGAUGUGUAGAACUAAAGACAAUAUCAAGUAACCCUCAAAAUGUAAAUUCAAGAAACAAGAUAGUUAAGUUAGCAUGCAUUAAAAUAAAAAUAUCUGUGUGACAA